CUCCUGAUAGCUCAGUUGGUAGAGCGAUGGACUGUAAUUGAAAUUUCCUUGGAGAUCCACAGGUCGCGUGUUCGACUCACGCUCGGGAGA
rnacentral:tRNA from 1 species